UUCCCCAAGCUCGCUGUCCAUCCGGCCACAGGUUUUUCUUUCUCUACUUUUCAUCAGUCCUCCUCGCUUCCUGUACAGCUGUGGCAAGCUUUUCCUCGGAAAAGCAUUGGAAACAUCUUUGAGGGGAGGAGUUUUAACGGGCAUCGGCAAGGAAAUAAGGGGGAAUUUGUUGGGUGAACUCAGAAGACACGGUUGGCAUUUUCUCGAGCCCUUGCAAUGUGAAGGUUAGGUCAUUUAAGUAAGAGUCUUUCAGUAGAAUGGCUGCCGUUCUAAGGUCAGAGCUCUUCUCUCUUCCCCCCCAUGCACAGAACGUGGGGCUUCUGUAUUUCCGGCUAGGAGUGGUGUUUUUAAAAGAGUAUGAUUCAACUUUUCCUUGUAGGAACUCUUUGUUCUUUGAUCUUUGGUUUUAUUUUAAAAUGGAAACUGCUUACGUGGAGUUUGUUACAUUUUUGGGGGGGAAAUAUUGUCUUAACUUUUGGGACACCAUUAUAUAUUUGAGGCAGGGGAUGUACUCUUCAGUCACCAGCACAAAAAGGUAAAAAAAAAGUAUACAUUUAAUAUCCUCUUGUGGCUCUCACCGUUGCUUUCAGCCUCCUCUCCUUCCUUCUUGUGCUAUGUAUCAAAACUGGGGUCUGCAUCAGGUGUUCAUCAGCUGGUCUGCACUCCAGGCGCCCCUGUUCUCUUCUUUUUCCAUUGCACUUCUUCGAGAAAGCAAUUUUCUCUACCUAGGUGCAGUGCUGGUCAUCUAACCUGUGUUCUCAGGCAUGCUAGACAAGACAAAGCACUUUGCCACCGAGCUGCUCUCCAGCUCCUAAAGCCCCGUUUCAUUGUAGCUUAGAGAUUAGUCUUUGAGUGUUAAACCUUUUCCAGCAUUUAAUCUGUCAACGAUGAUUUGGGUCCAUUUAAGUCUGCCUCCAUUAUGCUUCUAAAAAACCUUUUGAAGCUGUAAUUGUUAGUACUUAGACAGUGUCUCUGUUUUUGUACCUAUAUGGAAUCUGUCUGUCUUGUUCCCUCUUUGUUGGUCAGUAGCCCGGGCUUCAUACCCACAGCCCUCCCUGCUUCAUCUCAGGAGAGCCUGGGUUAUAGGACAGUUUCACUUCUACUUGGUUCCUGUACUUGGGGCUGGGGUAGGGUCUCUAGUAUUUCAUGUAGCCCUAGCUGGCCUGGAACUUACUAUAUGGAUUGGGCUGGCCAAGAACUCAGAUCGAACUUCCUUUGCCUCAGUCCUGGGAUAAAAGUGUGUGCCACCAUGUUCUCUGUCGAAGUUGAGGAACUCAUUGAGGUUCACUUGUAGGAGCUAAAAUGAAGAGUUUCAACGGUGUAUGUAGGAGUUCUUUGAAAGAAUAACACAGAAAUUGAAUCAUGGGUUGAUCCUUAGCACAACUAAUUUUUUGUGGUGUGUUUUUUUUUUUUUUUGGUGGUGGUGGGGGGAGAUAGUCUCAUAGAGGUUGGAAUGGCCUUGAUCUCUUGAUUACCUGCUUCCUAAGGGCUGAGAUACAGGUUUAUUGUAACAGACGGAUGCCCUGGAGCAUGCUGGCUUGAACUCACAGAGAUCUACCUGUCUCUGCCUCUUGCAGUAAAGGCAGGCUCUCCCUGCUAAGGCUCUCCCAGACAUUCCUGAUGUGAAGGUGAUGUCUGAAGUGUGUUCUUCCCUUAGGCUCCUAUUUACUGGAGUAGUUUUAACAGGCUGCACUAGGAUGUAAUUGCCAAGGUUGGAAAACUACUAAUAAAAAAGUAACUCUCCAUAAGGAUAGACAUCAUCAGGG
rnacentral:lncRNA from 1 species